rnacentral:rRNA from 1 species
AAACUUUGCAAUGUGCGAAAGCACGACAAGGUUAAUCCGAGUGAUUCCUGCUAAAGGAAUCUUUUGUUAGUCAUAACACCACUGAUGAAUAAGGGGUGGGCAAGUUCUGGUGUCAGCCGCCGCGGUAAAACCAGCACCUCAAGUGGUCAGGAUGAUUAUUGGGCCUAAAGCAUCCGUAGCCGGCUUUGUUAGUUUUCGGUUAAAUCUAUAUGCUCAACAUAUAGGCUGCCGGGAAUACUGCAAAGCUAGGGAGUGGGAGAGGUAGACGGUACUCCGUAGGAAGGGGUAAAAUCCUUUGAUCUAUGGAUGACCACCUGUGGCGAAGGCGGUCUACCAGAACACGUCCGACGGUGAGGGAUGAAAGCUGGGGGAGCAAACCGGAUUAGAUACCCGGGUAGUCCCAGCUGUAAACUAUGCAAACUCAGUGAUGCAUUGGCUUGUGGCCAGUGCAGUGCCGCAGGGAAGCCGUUAAGUUUGCCGCCUGGGAAGUACGUACGCAAGUAUGAAACUUAAAGGAAUUGGCGGGGGAGCAC